AGUCGAACGAAGUAGCAAUACUUAGUGGCAGACGGGUGAGUAACAUGUAGGUAUCUGCCCUUUGGCCUGGAAUAACACGAGGAAACUUGUGCUAAUACCGGAUAAGUCUUUACGGAGAAAGCUUUAUGCACCAUUGGAUGAGCCUGCACUUGAUUAGUUUGUUGGUGGGGUAAUGGCCUACCAAGACUGUGAUCAAUAGCUGAUUUGAGAGGAUGAUCAGCCACAUUGGGACUGAGACACGGCCCAAACUCCUACGGGAGGCAGCAGUGGGGAAUCUUGCACAAUGGAGGAAACUCUGAUGCAGCGAUGCCGCGUGAGUGAAGAAGGCCUUUGGGUUGUAAAGCUCUUUCGUCGGGGAAGAAAAUGACUGUACCCGAAUAAGAAGGUCCGGCUAACUUCGUGCCAGCAGCCGCGGUAAUACGAAGGGACCUAGCGUAGUUCGGAAUUACUGGGCUUAAAGAGUUCGUAGGUGGUUGAAAAAGUUGGUGGUGAAAUCCCAGAGCUUAACUCUGGAACUGCCAUCAAAACUUUUCAGCUAGAGUAUGAUAGAGGAAAGCAGAAUUUCUAGUGUAGAGGUGAAAUUCGUAGAUAUUAGAAAGAAUACCAAUUGCGAAGGCAGCUUUCUGGAUCAUUACUGACACUGAGGAACGAAAGCAUGGGUAGCGAAGAGGAUUAGAUACCCUCGUAGUCCAUGCCGUAAACGAUGUGUGUUAGACGUUGGAAAUUUAUUUUCAGUGUCGCAGCGAAAGCGAUAAACACACCGCCUGGGGAGUACGACCGCAAGGUUAAAACUCAAAUGAAUUGACGGGGACCCGCACAAGUAGUGGAGCAUGUGGUUUAAUUCGAAGAUACGCGCAGAACCUUACCAACACUUGACAUGUUCGUCGCGACUCUAAGAGAUUAGAGUUUUCGGUUCGGCCGGACGAAACACAGGUGCUGCAUGGCUGUCGUCAGCUCGUGUCGUGAGAUGUUGGGUUAAGUCCCGCAACGAGCGCAACCCUCACUUUUAGUUGCCAUCAUUAAGUUGGGCACUCUGAAAGAACUGCCAGUGAUAAGCUGGAGGAAGGUGGGGAUGACGUCAAGUCCUCAUGGCCCUUACGUGUUGGGCUACACACGUGCUACAAUGGUAUCUACAACAGGAAGCAAAACUGCGAAGUUAAGCAAAUCCCGAAAAGAUACCUCAGUUCGGAUUGCACUCUGCAACUCGAGUGCAUGAAGCUGGAAUUACUAGUAAUCGUGGAUCAGCGUGCCACGGUGAAUGCGUUCCCGGGUCUUGUACACACCGCCCGUCACACCAUGGGAGUUGGUUCUACCUUAAG
rnacentral:rRNA from 1 species